UGCAACGCGAAGAACCUUACCUGGUCUUGACAUCCCGGAGACCCUUAGGAAACUAGGGGGUGGCUUCCAUCUGGAAGAAUCUGGAGACAGGUGCUGCAUGGCUGUCGUCAGCUCGUGUCGUGAGAUGUUGGGUUAAGUCCGCAACGAGCGCAACCCUUGCCUUUAGUUGCCAGCAGUUCGGCUGGGCACUCUAAAGGGACUGCCGGUGUUAAACCGGAGGAAGGUGGGGAUGACGUCAAGUCCUCAUGGCCUUUAUGACCAGGGCUACACACGUACUACAAUGGCCGAUACAAAGGGCAGCGACACUGCGAGGUGAAGCCAAUCCCGUAAAAUCGGUCUCAGUCCGGAUUGGAGUCUGCAACUCGACUCCAUGAAGUUGGAAUCGCUAGUAAUCGUGGAUCAGCAUGCCACGGUGAAUACGUUCCCGGGCCUU
rnacentral:rRNA from 1 species